rnacentral:rRNA from 1 species
UACGUAGGGGGCAAGCGUUGUCCGGAUUUAUUGGGCGUAAAGAGCGUGUAGGCGGCUAGAUAGGUCCGUUGUGAAAACUCGAGGCUCAACCUCGAGACGUCGAUGGAAACCAUCUGGCUAGAGUCCGGAAGAGGAGAGUGGAAUUCCUGGUGUAGCGGUGAAAUGCGCAGAUAUCAGGAAGAACACCCGUGGCGAAGGCGGCUCUCUGGUACGUGACUGACGCUGAGACACGAAGGCCAGGGGAGCAAACGGG